rnacentral:rRNA from 1 species
GAGUUUGAUCCUGGCUCAGAACGAACGUUGGCGGCGUGGAUUAGGCAUGCAAGUCGAACGAAUCCCUGGGGGCUUGCUCUCAGGGGGAAGUGGCGAAAGGGGCAGUAAUGCAUGGGUAACCUACCCCGGGGAUCGGGAUAGCCUUCCUAACGGAAGGAUAAUACCGGGCGAUUCGGCGAGGCCGCAUGGCAUUGCCGGGAAAUGAAUUUCGCCUCGGGAGGGGCUCAUGUGAUAUUAGCUUGUUGGCGGGGUAACGGCCCACCAAGGCCAAGAUGUCUAGCGGGUGUGAGAGCACGACCCGCGCCACUGGCACUGAGACACUGGCCAGACUCCUACGGGAGGCUGCAGUCGAGGAUCUUCGGCAAUGGGCGAAAGCCUGACCGAGCGACGCCGCGUGUGCGAUGAAGGCCUUCGGGUUGUAAAGCACUGUCGAGGGGGAGGAAGCCGCAAGGUUGACCUAUCCCUGGAGGAAGCACGGGCUAAGUUCGUGCCAGCAGCCGCGGUAAGACGAACCGUGCGAACGUUGUUCGGAUUCACUGGGCUUAAAGGGCGCGUAGGCGGCAAUGCAAGUCCGGGGUGAAAGCUUUCGGCUUAACCGGAAAAGGGCCUUGGAUACUGCGUUGCUGGAGGGAGGUAGGGGCAUGUGGAACUUCCGGUGGAGCGGUGAAAUGCGUAGAUAUCGGAAGGAACGCCGGUGGCGAAAGCGACGUGCUGGACCUCUUCUGACGCUG